rnacentral:tRNA from 4 species
GGAGGGGUGCCUGAGUGGCUAAAAGGGGCAGACUGUAAAUCUGUUGGCGUACGCCUACGAUGGUUCGAAUCCAUCCCCCUCCACCA